CCUACGGGAGACAGCAGUGAGGAAUAUUGGUCAAUGGCCGCAGGGCUGAACCAGCCAAGUCGCGUGAGGGAUGACGGUCCUAUGGAUUGUAAACCUCUUUUGUCAGGGAGCAAAGGGCGCCACGUGUGGCGCUUUGCGAGUACCUGAAGAAAAAGCAUCGGCUAACUCCGUGCCAGCAGCCGCGGUAAUACGGAGGAUGCGAGCGUUAUCCGGAUUUAUUGGGUUUAAAGGGUGCGCAGGCGGAAUGUCAAGUCAGCGGUAAAAUUUCGGGGCUCAACCCCGUCGUGCCGUUGAAACUGGUGUUCUUGAGUGGGCGAGAAGUAUGCGGAAUGCGUGGUGUAGCGGUGAAAUGCAUAGAUAUCACGCAGAACUCCGAUUGCGAAGGCAGCAUACCGGCGCCCAACUGACGCUGAAGCACGAAAGCGUGGGUAUCGAACAGGAUUAGAUACCCGGGUAGUC
rnacentral:rRNA from 1 species